CAAGUACUCCCUCCGUCCGGAAUUACUUGUCAUCAAAAUGGAUGUGUCUAGAACUAAAAUACAUCUAGAUACAUCCAUUUCAAUGACAAGUAUUUCCGGACGGAGGGAGUACAAG
rfam:Triticum aestivum genome assembly, contig: Triticum_aestivum_CS42_TGACv1_scaffold_640786_T_7BL-0.163880_1BS-0.082103